UGCGAGGAAAGAUAAAGGAAGAUGAAGGACUUCAUAAUACUCCAAAAUCAGACUGCAAACUUAAAUGGCUUCCUCAAAAGUGUCAUUCCAUCCUGAGAUCAGGAGCUCUAUCCAAACACCUUGAAUCACCUGCAGGAGAGCUCUUCAGAGAAGAACAAAUCUUUCCCAACGUCCUGUUGGAUUAUUUAAUCUAAAGGCACCUCAAGAAGCAAAGUAAUUGGAUGUCUCUUUGAGUCAUUCCUCUACAAGAGAAGACAUCUUUUGGUUAACAAGUUUUAAUUGUAUUAAUCACUGGAAAAUUUAUUUUAGCGCAAUCAAACAAAAUAGAGAAUUGUUGUACCACUAGCAACUUUCUUGAAAUGAUUCAGGGCCAUGUAAUGUUUUAUUUUCUUUUUAAAAAAAUAUGUGCAUGUAUGCACGAGCACCAUUAAGGUGAUGUUGAUUUUUAGCACCACAUAGAUAGAGCUUCUCCAGGAUGAUCUGUCCGUUGCAUGGUCCUUGAACCCUCCCAACAAUGCACCUGUCUACCAACCUUCACUGGACCAAGUGGUAGAUUAUAGUCCAUAACCUUCAAAUGAAGAGGCCUUCGUCUUACAAUGGAUUGAUCUGGGCUGAUCAUCAACAUCCCUAUCAUCAUAUUAUCAGUCAUGUCUCUGAGAAACCACAACUAGUUAUAGGAAAGCUAUGCUGAAAAGGCUCUAUAACUAUCUACGGACAUUUUAAAAAACGCACGUGAGUUUUUUUGUUGCAUGAAAACUCUAAUACAUUUUCUUCCUUUAAUACUAUUUAUUAACACUGAUAUUAUUAACCCAAACAGGCAACAAAGUUGCGCAAACAUUUCCAAGAGCACUACAAAUUUCCUAUUUCAAUAGAACUUUUGUGGACUUGUCUGAUACAAAGACGUAGGAGGAGAGCCGUGCUUGUCUGCGGUAACACAAAAUCAGGCAGCACCUUUUCUGACUCACAAAUUUUAUUAAAAGGCAGAAGCUCUUUUUCUGACUCUUCCUAACCGUUUUUUUUUUUUUUUUAAAGACAGUGAUCAUGGCCAGCCUUAAUCUUUUUUUCUUGGAGGAAAACCUACUCAGCUUUCACCACCAAGUAAGGAAAUUCUGAACAUGCUUAGCUGAAGGCACUUUUUUUCCUCUUGAUAAUUCACUUGAAAAACUUUGGGAUUUAAUCUUUCUGGUGUAAUCUUGGGACUUUGGGGAGUGAGCCAACACCUGUAUUUUCAUGUAGCUUGUGCCUUUAUCUGUUCAGCUGAAUGGCAAAAUAAGUAAAAUAUCUGUAAGAAUUCAACAUGAGACUUUUAUAUAUUGAAGAUCAGGAGAGUUAAUCACAAAGUAUUCUCAAAAGUAGGAGAUAAAAAUGCAAAUACAUUAUUUUGCUAUCUGAGUUAACACCUGAGACCUCUGGUGGGAAAGGAAGUGAGUAUCUUGAUUCAGGCCUACAUGUAUGAAUUACAUUCUCCAAUAAGUUCUAGUGCAAUUUCACCCUUGGAUUUCUCUCAAGAUCUUUUUUUGGUGCGUGUGUGAAUAAGAAAACUAGAAGUAGUUUUCUCUUCCCCUUGUAACUGAACACCAACUCUUGUUUUAAUUUCUGUUGUCCAUGAUGGGACAGUGCCAUUGCAGAAUUUCUUGGUAUCCGAAGGGUCAUGAGUCAUGGAGAAGAUCCAGGCAAGCUUUCAAAAAAAUCAAGCUUGAUAGUUCCAGAAGACUUAGGAGAACAGUUGACAUUAUUUGGAAGGGGGCAUUAAGUCCCUUCCCCUGAACAGGAGAAGACGUUUCACAUGACUGUUAUUAGGACUGAAACUAAGCAAUGAAUAUGAAACAUUCUGACAUUUUAAAUACCAUGCAAAUAUUGCAAAUGAUUAUAGCUGGUAUGUGGUUGUUGUGGUGCUGUUACUAUUAAAAUGUUCAUGCAUCUGGAUGAAUAAUAGACUGCAUUUUGACUCCAGUGACUUGGCUCCUAACCAAGAUUUAAGAAUCGUGGAGGUACCACUGUAAAAGCAGGACACCUCUCUUGAAGUUCAAAACAAAAUGUAAUCAGAGGAGGAAGAGGAGGAGACGGCAGCGGAGAAGAAGAAUCCAUCAGAUUCUGAGGAAGUAUAUUCCAUCACAGAACAGCUUGUAUUAUUUAUUUUAGUUGUCCAGGAUGGUAAAACCUUCCUUUUGUAAGCAAAAUAAGUCUAAGAGCCAAAAACCACAGUUUUCAUGCUUAAAGGACGUAUUUUUAACUAUUAAAUGAGAAGACAAAUCUAUUUAUCUGAAUCACAAUCUUCAUACUAGGAUAUUGUUCACAACAGAUAUUUGAUAUGCCUAUGACUUGGUAUGAGAAUUAAACAUAGGACUGAGGAGGAAAAAGAUAUUUAAAGGCUGUUUAUAAGACCAGGUUUCCUUUUUCAUACUGUUCCACUUGGUGGAAGAAAGGGAAUAAGUUUUGUCCUCCCAUUGUCCUCCCGUUAGAAAGAUAAUGCCAUGGUGGGAACUCUGCAGUGAUGGCUUGAAAAAUAUCUAGCAAUUCUUUAGAGUUUUCUUCCCAUGCCCAACCCAAUGCAGUGAAAGUAGUUUUUUUUAAUUUCUCCUUGAGUGAAAACAGAGUGACACAGUCAAACAUUUUUAUGUCAGUGCUAGAGGCCCCCAGGUUUGGCAACUACCUUGGGAUGCAAAACCAAGAUGGUAAACAGGGAAGUUCUAGAACCAGUGGGGGGAAAUAGAAACCCAAGGCAGCUUCAAAAUGUUCUCUUUUGACUUCUUUCUUCUGUUUUCUCUACCUUCUUCUUUUGUCCACUCUCUUUCUUUCUGUCCCACUUCAACAACCUUCUAAAAACUGACAUCCACGUUCUUCUGCCUAGGUCUGCUUUGCACAGCUCAUUGUCCCUGGACUGCAAGAAUGAAGGCCAGCCCUGCCAUUAGGCAGAAUGAGGAGGAACUGAAUGGAGGUAUCUUUCUCAACUUUGUUUUCUGCACAUGAGUUUCCAGGCCUCUCUCAUCCGCAUACCUGCAAAAAGGAGGGUGUGAAGAAGACACAGCAAAUCUUAUCGGUGAAAAUGAACAAUGAUGCUCCUUGAAGCUACAUUGCUUGUUUCACAAGAAAAGCAAAGAUAGACAGGCAUUUCAAAGAGAUCCUGGCAUUCCCCAUGGCUUCCGCAGCUGGUGCUUUACGUAACUUUCACACUUCCCAUGUCGCCCACGGAAAUUGCCAGAGACGUGGCUCCAAAGAGCUGGUCUUGGGUGCCUUCUGAUUGGAAAUCCAUCUGGAUCAUGAAAGGCGAGUCAAAGCUCCGAGUUCAUUGUUCUGCUUCCCUUGUUUCGGCAGCAGCUGCCUUGAGAAGGAGAAAAAAAGUGACAACGCCUCUCCCACUCUACCAGUCAAGGAGAAAUCCCAGGAGGGAAAUCGGUGAAAUGCUGAAUGGUCAUAUGUGUCUUCCACCAAGUGGCAAUUUUUGUUUGUUGUCCCUUCCCUGGUCAAGGAGGAAGUUUGCAGGAUGUUAUGAAUUUCCUGCUUCAGGGACUUGCAGAGCAUUUUCAUGUAAAUAAGUCUCCCCAAAGCCACACCCUAGCACUAACUUUUUCUCCCCUGUGCGUAGACCAUGGCCUACGCAGAUGAAUGUGUUUUUCAACCAGAAUGGGGGCAGAAUUGUACAGUGGAUUGCACAAGGACCCUGGGACUUGCAAGCUAAUUGAAAAAUACAAUAGACGGAUUCUGGGUGUCCCCAAAAUAGUCUCUGUGUUGGAUGUGAAAUAUGAGCAUUUGAAUGGGGGGAUCUGUAGAAGGGAACCCCCAUAUUCGUUGGCUUUUAAAGAGGUGUGAACCCAGCAGGAUGUUGCUUAUAAAGUGGUAGAAGAACUCAAAUCAUGUCUGUGGUUGCUACCAGAGACACAUCACAGGAAUAUAUAUAUUCUGCUGUGAGUGAAUUUGGGUGUUCGGUUCCCACCAGUGGCCAGAGGAACGCUAACCACAAAGAACGUUUGGCCCCUGUUUGAUUUCUCCUUUAACGACUUGUUGGACUGGAUGAGGGUUGAAUUUGAUCAUUUAAAAACCUUCGAGAUAUUUCAAGACCUCUUCAAAAUUUGUUGGCUUCUCAAAAAUAUCCUGCAUGGACAUAUCACACAGGACUCUUUCACGAGGGGGCUUCUUCUUUUUGGACACUCCUUGGAACAGCCAAGUAAACGAUUAAAAAAAAGCCAGACUGGAAAAAUGUUCGGGUAAAGUACCCGUAAAACAAAAUAGACUUUUCAUAAUUUGCACUGGAGGGUCACAGGCGCUGUAGCGAUGUGCUAUGUUUUUCAUGCCUAGAUCCUGAUGAGAUCAGCCUGGUGCUUGCCCUAUUUAAAACUUUCGUUGGUCCUUUCCCUUCCCAAGGCAAGCCGUCUGCUGAUGAGAAACGGGUCCCUGAGGCAAUGUGGAGACAAAAAAGAGCAUGUAAUUGAAAUAAUAAAUUAUGAUCAGUGUCAUCAGUUUUGCCAAGAGAUGUCGUGGAUUAUGCUGUUUAAAGGGCGGUGCUAACUUAAUGUGAUGACAGACGGGCUGGAGGAGACAGCUAGGAAUUGUUCUUCGGGAGAGGUCACGCAGGUCCUGCUCCAAGGCUGCGCCUUUAAAGUUUGCUUGUAAGGUCUGUUGUGAUAAGGGCUCCUAAUGCGCCUUUUGAUACAUUGCAUUGUUCAGUAAGAUCUGUGCUGAUUUCUUGGACCUUCACUAUCUGUAUUUCCCUGAUUCCUUGGGGAGUCUUAUGCUACCCUCUCAAACAAUGGCUAGGUUAGCACAUGGCUGUGAUCUUUAAACUAUCGUUCAUUAAGUAAACCGUAAUUGCUUUUACAAGGCACUAAAACUGCAAAACAUGUUUUAUUGACAUGCUGCAGUGGCUGGGUUCACACAGCAUGCUAAGUCUAAAAAAGACCUCAUCCCGGUUUCCUGUGAUUCCAGUCAAUGAGCUGAGCCUGGGUUUGCUUUAAUUGUGAUUUGUUUCAUGAACCACAUUGGCUGGGUUCACAUGUCAUUUAGGGUAAUUACGCUGGUUUGCAGAUUACAUGGUUGUGGUGUACACAACAGAACAAACCACAUUUUGGCUCAGCAUAAUAUAUGAACAUUGAGCUUUCAGCCAAUUGCUCUAAAGGGAGUCAGGGAUGACAAUUUUGCAUCUUCUGUGUUUGAUAGCUCCUAGUUUCUAGUUUUCCUAGUGAGAAGCUUUGUCCUUGGGUUUUUAGCUACCAUUUAAACUCUCCCUCAUUUGUCUCUCAUUACACACCAACUAUGGAAUGGGAUGAAAUUGCACCAAUAUUUCUCCCAACCGCAACCAUCAUCCAUGGUAUGACUGCUGAGAUUAGCAGGAAACAGUCCUGACUCAACUCUUAAUUGUAUCUUAUGAGUCAUCUUAAUUGUAUGCAGCUUAUCCAAUGUGGUAUAUUGAAAGGAGUGUUGGAUUCAGACUGGCAACCCUUGAGCAAAAAAUAUCUACUUACAUCCCCCUAGCCACUGAUCUCGUUACAGAGGUGGACUAGUUGUAAUGCUGGAGGACAGCUUUCAUAUUUGGGAGCCACCGUUAGCCUUAUCUUCCUUAACUUUGUCUAAUUGCUUUAAGACCUCUCCAAGUUGGGAGGUAUUGCUACAUCUAGUGGUCACAAAUUGUACAACCUCUGCCUUGGUUCCCCCACAGUUUUGCUUAACUGGAUGACUCCCCUCCUUCUUAGUAUUACAGGGGAGAAAGAGAAACAUCUUCUUGUCAAAUGUUCCCCCUGUAGUUGCCUGCAGUUCUUUGGAAGAAGAGCAACAAUGAAAAACAUAAUUAAUAUAACGUCAAACAUGGAGGUCUUUAUUUGGUGGCUGUAUGUCUACUGCUUCAUUUUGAUUUAGUUACGGCAGAUUAGUCAACAAACCGUGGUUGAAAUUAUGGCUGAAUAUGAGCUAAGAAACCAACCUUGAGGGCUUGUCUGCAUCUAGCCAACGAUCAUAGCAUGGCCUUCUUGACAGAGUCUGUUGAGACUGAAAGGCAAUGCCUGAAGCAAAGAGGAGGAAUUUGGCAAUAGAUAUGGUGAGAUCUCACCCCUUCCAAACUUCACCCAAGCUCAGUUGAUGAUCACACUGGAAAAGGAGGAGAUGAGAUGGAUCUUAUUGCUGCUCUUGUCAUAUAGUUACCCACCAUGGAUUAGAAAGAAACCAACUUGAAGUAGAAUUUGUCUUACCCUGUUUUUCCCCCCUCCCCUCCUCUCCCCUCCCCUCCCCUCCCCUCCCCUCCCCAGGUUGGGCUGAGAUACCUCCAAGCCUGGGUGUGGAAACUGGUUUGGUCUGGCAAGACCACGCAGCUCAAUGGAAUAUGUAAACACUGGGCUAGAAUCAUUCAUUUAAGGCUUAUCUGCCUUGUUCUUCUGACUCUUUGCUGUAAGGGGCGUUGGGGUGCACCACAGGGGUGAAGGAGAGGAGUGGAGAGAAACCAUUGUAAGAGCCAUGAACAAUCCAGAAGGGCGUGUUUUGCCUGGAGGUAUGAUUGCUAGGUCGGCAGAGUUUAUGUCCUGAGUUCAUCCUGUUCCUUUUGAGGAGCGAAAGAAAGUCUGAAGAAGAAGGUGAGCGCUACUGCUCUUCAGGUCCCUUCUGUUUUAAGCGCACCUCUUGCGAACAAAUCUCUCUUUGACUUCCCUGCUCAGCAGAGGCUUCAUCUUAGCUGACUUACUGGCCACUCAUGCUGCUAGGAAACAUGAUCAAUGCAAUGCAGUCCUGGCAUUGGGGCAUCUGUUUGCUGUGUGUCUGGACUAGGCAGGAAUGUUCUUCCAUUCUAGACUUUUGAUGAAAUGCAAUCCAUGGUUGGACCUUUGAUCAAGUUGGCUAGUAAGAACACAGCAAGAGGAGAACCUAAGAUUGCUUGCAACUCUGGGAUGGGCAGGAAAAAGAGCCUUCAGGAAUGGACAGUUAAAUGAAUGAACGUACACCCUAGCUGUUCUUAGCAGAAAAAUAAAAUGGUUAAAGCACA